AACGAACGCUGGCGGCAUGCCUAACACAUGCGAGUCGAACGAGACCUUCGGGUCUAGUGGCGCACGGGUGCGUAACGCGUGGGAACCUGCCCUUAGGUUCGGAAUAACUCCCCGAAAGGGGUGCUAAUACCGGAUAAUGUCUUCGGACCAAAGAUUUAUCGCCUUUGGAUGGGCCCGCGUUGGUUUAGCUAGUUGGUAGGGUAAAAGCCUACCAAGGCGACGAUCCAUAGCUGGUCUGAGAGGAUGAUCAGCCACACUGGGACUGAGACACGGCCCAGACUCCUACGGGAGGCAGCAGUGGGGAAUAUUGGACAAUGGGCGAAAGCCUGAUCCAGCAAUGCCGCGUGAGUGAUGAAGGCCUUAGGGUUGUAAAGCUCUUUUACCCGGGAUGAUAAUGACAGUACCGGGAGAAUAAGCUCCGGCUAACUCCGUG
rnacentral:rRNA from 1 species